rnacentral:rRNA from 1 species
AGUCUAGCAUGUGCGCGAGUCAUUGGGACUCAAUAAACCUAAAGGCGCAAUGAAAGUGAAAGUCUGUUUACGCGGACUUAGGGAGGAUAGGUGCGUACACAUCUGUGUACAACCUCGCACUCCCGGGGCGUCUCGCACUCAUUGCGAGGUGGGGCGCACCAAGAGCGUACACGCUGGGACCCGAAAGAUGGUGAACUAUGCCUGGUCAGGACGAAGUCAGGGGAAACCCUGAUGGAGGUCCGUAGCGAUUCUGACGUGCAAAUCGAUCGUCGGAACUGGGCUUAGGGGCGAAAGACUAAUCGAACCAUCUAGUAGCUGGUUCCCACCGAAGUUUCCCUCAGGAUAGCUGGCACUAGAUUAUGGAUGAGUCUCAUCCGGUAAAGCGAAUGAUUAGAGGCAUUGGGGUCGAAACGGCCUCAACCUAUUCUCAAACUUUAAAUGGGUGAGAUCUCCGGCUUGCUCGAUUUGUGAAGCCGGAGAUCGGAUCAAUUAGUGCCAAGUGGGCCACUUUUGGUAAGCAGAACUGGCGCUGUGGGAUGAACCAAACGCAGAGUUAAAGCGCCAAAAUCGACGCUUAUGGGAUACCAUGAAAGGCGUUGGUAACUUAAGACAGCAGGACGGUGGCCAUGGAAGUCG